rnacentral:misc_RNA from 1 species
CGAUACUACACUCUCGGACCUUUCGUUUCGGCCAGCUUCUAAAUUUACAAAAUUCCAAAUUUUUUUUCGAAAUUAAUCUGGCCAAAUAAACGCUCGACGGACUCAAGAUGUGUGACGGAUGUGGAUCGCUGGAGCCGCGCGGAUGCCGCAGCCGGGAGUUGCGAUGCGGCAUCAUGUACACCACCUGCGACUGCGUGAAGCGGAACGGUCUGCAGGACAAGUGUCCGCGGUCCGCCUGCCAGGGCAGGCCGGCCUGCCUGUGCUUCCCGUUCCCCACCUGCGGACCGGCGGCAUUCCCGCUGCGCUACGCCAACAUGAUGAUGGGCGUGAACAACAAGCGGAUGCGCUGUGCCGCCACUGGAGCGCCCAACGGCGGUGCCGGAUGCGGCGGACGCGUCGCCGGCGGCUGCUGUGGAUGCGGUCCCUGCUGCUGAGCUUCAUGCCCUAAACGCUGAUCCGUCAACAAGGAUAGCAUGUCCUGUGUUUGGUGGGCGCAGGUGUAGGAUCUAUGGACCAAAUGCUGUUGCCAGGCCCCAAAUCCUUCAGUAUGACCUCCUUCCGCAUUCCGUCGCGUGUGGUUUCUAAGUAGUUCCUGGCAAGUGUUUCGAUCGGAUCCUGAUGGGCCACUUCCUUGGCGGGACAUGUUGUCGUUUUGUGGCGCACUUUUGGUUGAU